UACGUAGGGGGCGAGCGUUGUCCGGAUUUAUUGGGCGUAAAGAGCUCGUAGGUGGCUGUUCAAGUCGGGUGUGAAAUCCCAAGGCUCAACCUUGGGUCUGCAUUCGAUACUGGGUGGCUUGAGUCUGGUAGGGGGACCUGGAAUUCCUGGUGUAGCGGUGGAAUGCGCAGAUAUCAGGAGGAACACCGGUGGCGAAGGCGGGGUCCUGGGCCAGUACUGACGCUGAGGAGCGAAAGCGUGGGGAGCAAACAGGAUUAGAUACCCUGGUAGUCCACGCUGUAAACGAUGGGUGCUAGGUGUGGGGGGUUAUCGACUCCUUCCGUGCCGCAGCUAACGCAGUAAGCACCCCGCCUGGGGAGUACGGCCGCAAGGCUAAA
rnacentral:rRNA from 1 species